CCAGAUAUGUGUGUGUAGUGUGUAUUUCUGGAGAAUCAAAGUUCUUCUUUUGAUCGCUGAGAUUAUUAGAUUCCAUCAGGUUUCACUGGAGGGGAUCUGCAGCAUUCUUCACAUGUCCAGAUCCAUAUUUUUCCAUUCGUUGAUACGAGCAGAGCAGCUGUUUGUGAUUUAUUUAUGCCAUACCAGCCUGUAUGUGUCUUAGUCCAUUCUCGGUUAACAGUGACAGGAAGUUCAUACAUGCCGUGAAACAGGCUGAGGGCGAAUGUGUGAGCGGGGUCAGUGACUGACUGGCACAUAACAGCUGGAGGCAGGUUUAUUUCUUGGUGUGUUCAUGUUCUGGGCUGAUCCCUGGCUGCAGGAUCAGCACCUUGGAGAGCUCCACAACGUACAGUGCUGACAUCUGGGAAAUAUUUUACUCUUUACCUGCUUACUGUAUCACAUAAUGGUGGACUUGGACAUUCAGUUGUAAGCCCUAAACAGAAUUUUGCAGGACGUCAGCUAAGGUCUGACCCUGUACAGCCAAAAAAAACCCCAAAAUUAGACCCUUUUUUGUAAUGCCUCUAGUAUACAGUGCCCUGACUAAGUACUUUUACUUAUUGUCCAGUUUUGAAGUACCGUCACCUAAGUGGUUUGAUGUAAUGUUAUUUUUAGACAUAUUUUACUACAUCUCAGAGGGAAAAACUAUACUUUUUAACCGUAUCAUUUGGUGGUAGUUACUUCUAAGGUCAACAUUUUACAUAAUAGUUGGUAUACAAAGCUUCGAAACAAUGAUAAAGACUAAUCCAGUGCUUUCCGACCUCUUUGUCGUCUUAUCUUACAAAAAAGUAGUGUUUAUGAAUUAAUACCUAAACAUCUUGCAUGGUUUUAUUUCCAUAAAUGUCCAAAUCAUCCAGUAUCUCA